rnacentral:rRNA from 1 species
GGGGAAUAUUGCGCAAUGGGGGGAACCCUGACGCAGCGACGCCGCGUGAAGGAAGAAGGUCUUCGGAUUGUAAACUUCUUUGGUCGGGGACGAAAAAGAUGACGGUACCCGAUAAAAAAGCCACGGCUAACUACGUGCCAGCAGCCGCGGUAAUACGUAGGUGGCAAGCGUUGUCCGGAAUUACUGGGUGUAAAGGGCGUGUAGGCGGGGAUGCAAGUCAGAUGUGAAACCCCACAGCUUAACUGUGGGCUUGCAUCUGAAACUGUGUUUCUUGAGUGUUGGAGAGGGAAGUGGAAUUCCUAGUGUAGCGGUGAAAUGCGUAGAGAUUAGGAGGAACACCAGUGGCGAAGGCGACUUCCUGGCCAACAACUGACGCUGAGGCGCGAAAGCGUGGGGAGCAAAC